AUAUCUAUCCACCCCCACCACCCCUGAAACGAAAAUAUGAAAAUCCGUCUCUGGUUCAGUUCAGUUUCCAAGGAUGUAGCUUGGUACUGUGUUUUUCCACCCAGAAAGGAGAGUGUGUCAUGGAAUAAAUCUGCAAUAAACAAGAAUAGAUUAAUUAUACAGAUUGUACAAUUAUCCAGGUAACAUAACUUAGCAUAUGACCAAG